GGCCGAAGCCUGGCUUGACGUACAAGGUUAUGACAGAAAGAGUUUGGGUAGAAUACAAGAGAAGGAAGGAGGUUGAGAUUACAACUCUAUAUUCUAACACCCUCCCUUAAUCUCAACUAACCUAAGUUAAGAUUACUCUUGAAUUCUUCAAAUGGUCUUGCUGGUAGUGCUUUUGUAAAACCGUCAGCCACUUGAUCCUUAGAAGGAAUAAAUCGAAUCUCAAGUUUCCUUGCCGCAA